AAUAGUCUUCAGGGCAGGGCGAAAGUCCCUACCGGUGGUAAAGCCCACGAGCCGCGAGGCAGAUUCGGUUAGAUUCCGAAGCCGACAGUUAUAGUCUGGAUAAAAGAAGACAUCA
rnacentral:ncRNA from 2 species